rnacentral:tRNA from 1 species
GGAGAGAUGGCCGAGUAGGUCGAAGGCGAUCGCCUGCUAAGCGAUUAUAUGAACAAAAAUUCGUAUCGAGGGUUCGAAUCCCUCUCUCUCCGCCA